UGACGGUUAAGUAGGGUGUCAUCCCAGUGCCUUGACUACUUCGAUCCAGGAAAAUUGAUUGUAAACGAGCAAACAUUUUCGAUAAAAUUACCAAAAAGCUAGAUCCCAGACUGGGAUGACACCACCUACAAAUU
rnacentral:ncRNA from 1 species